rnacentral:rRNA from 1 species
AGAGUUUGAUCCUGGCUCAGGACAAACGCUGGCGGCGUGCCUAACACAUGCAAGUCGAGCGCGAAAGGGACCUUCGGGUCCCCUGAAAGCGGCGAACGGGUGAGUAACACGUGGGCAACCUGCCUCAAGGACUGGGAUAACUCCGGGAAACCGGGGCUAAUACCGGGCGAUGUCGUCUGGCGCAAGCCGGCCGACCAAAUGGUAGCUUCGGCCUCCGCCUUGAGAUGGGCCCGCGUCCUAUCAGCUUGUUGGUGAGGUAACGGCUCACCAAGGCUACGACGGGUAGCUGGUCUGAGAGGAUGAUCAGCCACACUGGGACUGAGAUACGGCCCAGACUCCUACGGGAGGCAGCAGUGGGGAAUUUUGCGCAAUGGGCGAAAGCCUGACGCAGCAACGCCGCGUGAGCGAAGAAGGCCUUCGGGUUGUAAAGCUCUGUCAGGGGGAAAGAAGGCACCUGGGUUAAUAGCCCAAGGGCUGACGGUACCCCCAAAGGAAGCCACGGCUAACUACGUGCCAGCAGCCGCGGUAAUACGUAGGUGGCGAGCGUUGUCCGGAAUCAUUGGGCGUAAAGAGCGCGUAGGUGGCUUGUCAGGUCUGAUGUGAAAUCCUGGGGCUCAACUCCAGAACUGCAUCGGAAACCGGCUUGCUAGAGUCUGGGAGAGGAGAGUGGAAUUCCUGGUGUAGCGGUGAAAUGCGUAGAUAUCAGGAGGAACACCGGUAGCGAAGGCGGCUCUCUGGAACAGUACUGACGCUGAGGCGCGAAAGCUAGGGGAGCGAACAGGAUUAGAUACCCUGGUAGU